CAAAAUGUUUAGAAAAAUAAUCUGGAAAGGAGCAUGUCACCCUUCAAAAAAGUGGCAACAUGAAUGGCAAUGCCCAUUACACAUUCAAGAAUCCAUCCACAGAGGACUGCCAUCUGAAGCAUGAGUUAACAGAAAUCAGGGCAAGUUUUUCAGAUUCAGGAGAGAAUACUUUGUCACGUGUUUGUAAAGCAGCCAGGUCUCUACAGUCUCUGGGCAGAUUCUGGCACUGUACUCAUAAGGAGCAGUAAGUAGUUAACAGCUCACGGUGACAGAGAACACAGCACAUUGUAACUACAGGACUUUCACUCGACUGUGAAAGAUCUCUAUCAAGCCUCACAGAGAAUUUGAGGCAGCUGGCAGUUAUCAGCUGAAGCAGGUAGUCAGUAGAAGUGCAAAAGAUAAAUAGAUAAUUGAAAACCAAUCUGGAAACCUGGGAGAGAUAAUAAGCCUCUCUUCUAGAAGGGAGCCAACAACUCAGAAAAUAUUUUCCUCCCGAAGUUCCUCACUUCAAAUGGAUGCAUUUUAGAGCUUCUCUUAUCUGAUGUCAUGAUCUUUUUCUACUGAAAUGGGAUUGCUUCAUCUCUACAACAUAACAAUGGCCAUGAACAAAGACUGGUUCAUAGGUGUUCUUUUCUGCUUCCAAGGAAAAGGAUGGGCAAAGGAGGAGCAUAAUUUGCAUUGCCUUUCUUCAGAAGGGAGUUUACAGCUCUAGUCUUGAGUUAAACAGCCAUUUAUGCUGAAGAACAUGUAGCCCAGAGCUCUGCCUGUCAUCUUUGUGUAUGUGUGUAUCUGUGUAUGUGUGUAUGCCUGUGUGCCUGUGUGUGCCAAAAGAAUAGUGCCUGCUUUGAAAACCUUUGCUUCUGUCACAUAUUUCCUAAAUUGGACACACAGGUAGUCUCAAUAAAAAAUAACAGCUAUCUUAGAAAUAUUCAGUUGCCUAGAUUUUGAUAAAGUACAAUAUCAAUUCAAGAAUUUUUCUUCUGUUCUUCUGAAAAGCUAUUAACAAAAUUGAAAGUGAAAAAUGAGUCUGUGAGGUCAGACUUGCUCCUAAAUACAAUUUACUCUUACCAUUCUGGUAUUACUGUUAUGGCUAUUAUGAC